rnacentral:sRNA from 1 species
UCAUGGUUGACUUUUGCAUGCCGCGCAUC